GUUAGCCUACGGGGGGCAGCAGUGAGGAAUAUUGGUCAAUGGACGAAAGUCUGAACCAGCCAUGCCGCGUGCAGGAAGACGGCUCUAUGAGUUGUAAACUGCUUUUGUACAAGGGUAAACCUGAAUACGUGUAUUCAGCUGAAAGUACUGUACGCAAAAAAAAAAAAAAAAAAAAAAAAAGAAGCCGCGGUAAUACGGAGGAUCCAAGCGUUAUCCGGAUUUAUUGGGUUUAAAGGGUGCGUAGGCGGAUUGAUAAGUUAGAGGUGAAAUGUCCGGGCUCAACUCGGGAACUGCCUCUAAUACUG
rnacentral:rRNA from 1 species